rnacentral:rRNA from 1 species
GACGAACGCUGGCGGCGUGCUUAACACAUGCAAGUCGAGCGAGCGGCGGACGGGUGAGUAAUGUCUGGGAAACUGCCUGAUGGAGGGGGAUAACUACUGGAAACGGUAGCUAAUACCGCAUGCCAUCAGAUGUGCCCAGAUGGGAUUAGCUAGUAGGUGGGGUAAUGGCUCACCUAGGCGACGAUCCCUAGCUGGUCUGAGAGGAUGACCAGCCACACGGGAACUGAGACACGGUCCAGACUCCUACGGGAGGCAGCAGGGGGGAAUAUUGCACAAUGGGCGCAAGCCUGAUGCAGCCAUGCCGCGUGUGUGAAGAAGGCCUUCGGGUUGUAAAGUACUUUCAGUCGGGAGGCGUUACUCGCAGAAGAAGCACCGGCUAACUCCGUGCCAGCCGCCGCGGUAAUUC